CACCGCGGUUAUACGAGGGACCCAAGUUGAAAGAAUCCGGCGUAAAGCGUGAUUAAUAGCACACAACCACUAAAGUCGAACUCCUUCAAGGCUGUCAUACGCCCCCGAAGGGUGGAAGUCCUACAACGAAAGUAACUUUAAACUAUAUGAACCCACGAAAGCUAAGAAA
rnacentral:rRNA from 1 species